rnacentral:rRNA from 1 species
CCUACGGGUGGCAGCAGUGAGGAAUAUUGGUCAAUGGACGAGAGUCUGAACCAGCCAAGUAGCGUGAAGGAUGACUGCCCUAUGGGUUGUAAACUUCUUUUAUAUGGGACUAAAAGGUUCCACGUGUGGCAUUUUGUAUGUACCAUAUGAAUAAGGAUCGGCUAACUCCGUGCCAGCAGCCGCGGUAAUACGGAGGAUCCGAGCGUUAUCCGGAUUUAUUGGGUUUAAAGGGAGCGUAGGCGGGUUGUUAAGUCAGUUGUGAAAGUUUGCGGCUCAACCGUGGAAUUGCAGUUGAAACUGGCAGGCUUGAGUAUAGUAGAGGUAGGCGGAAUGCGUGGUGUAGCGGUGAAAUGCUUAGAUAUCACGAAGAACUCCGAUUGCGAAGGCAGCUUACUGGACUGCAACUGACGCUGAGGCUCGAAAGUGUGGGUAUCAAACAGGAUUAGAUACCCCUGUAGUC